AUACGGAGGGUGCAAGCGUUACUAGGAAUCACUGGGCGUAAAGGAUGCGUAGGCGGAUAAUCAAGUCAAAAGUGAAAUCCUACAGCUUAACUGUAGAACUGCUUUCGAAACUGGUUAUCUAGAAUAUGGAAGAGGCAGAUGGAAUUAGUGGUGUAGGGGUAAAAUCCGUAGAGAUCACUAGGAAUACCGAUUGCGAAGGCGAUCUGCUGGGACAUUAUUGACGCUGAGGCAUGAAAGCGUGGGGAGCAAACAGGAUUAGAUACCCUAGUAGUCC
rnacentral:rRNA from 1 species